UCACAUACACUCAGCCACUCUCCUUCUCCUUCCUCUCAUUCAGCUCUUCCUUCACUCCCUCACUUUCGUCCAGCUGCCGUCGCAACUUUCUUCCCCUCCAUCGCACAGCUACUGUUCGAACUUUGAAGCCACCGUCGCCAGUGCAACUGGUCUCGCCUCCUGCCUCCGUCACGCAGCGCCGCUGUCAGCUCUAUUCCACCGCGCUCUUGUCCCUUCAGUCACCGGCGUCAGCUCUGUUCCCCUCUUGCUUCGUCUGCUACUCUGCUCUGUUCUAGUUUCUAGACUUCAAUUCAGGAGACUAUAGUAUCAUUUUUAUAGUGUUGUGAUCAAUGUGGAAUAUGGUUGAUGGUGGGAAAGUAGUUACUCUCAAAGCUAUUGAAAAAAAAGCAGCAAUAUUGUCAUGCAAGAGAUGCCAAUACAGAUUCUUGACAUUUUAUGAAGAGUGAAACCAAAUAAUUGGAUCAUCUGUGUGAAUGGUUGAAGGCUGAGCCUCUCUAAUUGCUGUCAAUGUUCUCCCCAUCACAACCAUAGACAUUCUUUUUUCUUCCUUAUUCCUUCAAACUAUUUUCCCUUAUCCCUUAUUUCUUUUUACAAUGUCAUGAAUUAUGUUUUUUUUUUUAUUUUUUAGAUAUAUUUAGUUAUUUUAUGAAUAUGUUCGAUAGAAAUAUCUCUUGUUUAUUACUGUUUAAGUAUUUGAGGACAAUGAAAAUUAUGUUUGUAAUAAUAAUUGAAAAUUAUCUUUUUUUUUUCUGUUUUUUUUUUGAAAUUUUUUAUAAAAAUCUGCGGAUAUCUACGGAGACUCCAAUCUCCGACGGAUAGAGGUCCUCGUUACCCAUUGUAGGAAUGGGAACAGGUUUUGAAGGCGGGAGCGAGACGGGGUGGGGGCGGGAGGCAUGUCCCCGCCCCACAGGGACCCGUUGCUAUUCCUACCGCACUAGGAUGCCAUUAAAAGAGGAGAAAAAAUCCUAAAUGACAUAUUUAUAUUUGGUUUUUAUUUUGUUAUUUAACUUUUGAAUUUGUAUUUGAAUGAGUUCAUAACAUUGUAGUUUAUAUAGUACUUUUAAUUUAGAUGAUAUUUUAAAAUCUAUAUUAGACUAUAAUUAUAUUUUAA